UUUGGUAUAAAUAGUGUUGAAAUGGACUUACACCAUUGAAAUAACGUUUAAUCAAAUCUAUGUUCUCUUGUUGGUUACUGUGCACAUCUAAGAACCGAUAGCGUGACAGGUUGAUCCUCUGUACUCGUUCAUUUCCACUGCCGCCAACGAAAGGACAGGAUGUGUUACUUUUGCUAUUUUUUUCGUAAGGAAACGUGUUCGAGGUUUUGAGUUUCAUAAUGUCGAAACGACCAAUCCACCAGUACAAAGAAGAGCAGUUGUCAUAGGCUAUGGCCGCGAUCAGAAACGGGAUGAAGAUUAGAGAAACUAGUCGAGUUUUUAGCGUACCAUGAGGGACUCUACAAGAUCGCCUGCAUUUAAGAGUCCCAGAAGCACCUCGUAAAAUGGGAUCAGACUUAGUACUUACCAAAGACGAAGAAACUGUCUUGAAAGACUGGUGCAUUGCUUUGGCAGAAUGUGGCUUCCCUUUAAAUGUGAUGAUCCUUUAUACUGUCCAUAAUAUUAUUUCCCAAGAAAACAGACCUAACCCAUUUGUAAAUAAUAGGCCAGGGAAGAAAUGGAACUCAUUUCUUAAACGAAAUCCGGAGUUAAGAGAAUCAAAAUCGCUAUCGAUGUUUUAAACAGAGCAAAGAAUAUGGUCGGUACUGAAAGCCUAAAUUCUAAAGUAAAUUCAAUUAGCCAGGCCGUCCAAAUCGAUACCUCAA